GACGUAGGGCGCAAGCGUUGUCCGGAAUUAUUGGGCGUAAAGAGCUCGUAGGCGGCUUAGCAAGUCAGAUGUGAAAACUCCAGGCUCAACCUGGAGACGCCAUUUGAUACUGCUAUGGCUUGAGUUCGGUAGGGGACCAUGGAAUUCCUGGUGUAGCGGUGAAAUGCGUAGAUAUCUGGAGGAACACCGGUGGCGAAGGCGGCGUUCUGGACUGCAACUGACACUGAGAGACGAAAGCCAGGGGAGCAAACGGG
rnacentral:rRNA from 1 species